UGAGGAAUAUUGGUCAAUGGGCGAGAGCCUGAACCAGCCAAGUAGCGUGCAGGAAGACGGCCCUAUGGGUUGUAAACUGCUUUUAUAUGGGGAUAAAGUGAGCUACGUGUAGUUUAUUGCAGGUACCAUAUGAAUAAGGACCGGCUAAUUCCGUGCCAGCAGCCGCGGUAAUACGGAAGGUCCAGGCGUUAUCCGGAUUUAUUGGGUUUAAAGGGAGCGUAGGCCGGAGAUUAAGCGUGUUGUGAAAUGCCGCGGCUCAACCGUGGCACUGCAGCGCGAACUGGUUUUCUUGAGUGCGCGCGACGCAGGCGGAAUUCGUGGUGUAGCGGUGAAAUGCUUAGAUAUCACGAGGAACCCCGAUUGCGAAGGCAGCUUGCGGGAGCGCAACUGACGCUGAAGCUCGAAGGUGCGGGUAUCGAACAGGAUUAGAUACCCUGGUAGU
rnacentral:rRNA from 1 species